UUAAGCGACUAAGCGUACACGGUGGAUGCCCUGGCAGUCAGAGGCGAUGAAGGACGUGCUAAUCUGCGAUAAGCGUCGGUAAGGUGAUAUGAACCGUUAUAACCGGCGAUUUCCGAAUGGGGAAACCCAGUGUGUUUCGACACACUAUCAUUAACUGAAUCCAUAGGUUAAUGAGGCGAACCGGGGGAACUGAAACAUCUAAGUACCCCGAGGAAAAGAAAUCAACCGAGAUUCCCCCAGUAGCGGCGAGCGAACGGGGAGCAGCCCAGAGCCUGAAUCAGUGUGUGUUAGUGGAAGCGUCUGGAAAGGCGCGCGAUACAGGGUGACAGCCCCGUACACAAAAAUGCACAUGCUGUGAGCUCGAUGAGUAGGGCGGGACACGUGGUAUCCUGUCUGAAUAUGGGGGGACCAUCCUCCAAGGCUAAAUACUCCUGACUGACCGAUAGUGAACCAGUACCGUGAGGGAAAGGCGAAAAGAACCCCGGCGAGGGGAGUGAAAAAGAACCUGAAACCGUGUACGUACAAGCAGUGGGAGCACGCUUAGGCGUGUGACUGCGUACCUUUUGUAUAAUGGGUCAGCGACUUAUAUUCUGUAGCAAGGUUAACCGAAUAGGGGAGCCGAAGGGAAACCGAGUCUUAACUGGGCGUUAAGUUGCAGGGUAUAGACCCGAAACCCGGUGAUCUAGCCAUGGGCAGGUUGAAGGUUGGGUAACACUAACUGGAGGACCGAACCGACUAAUGUUGAAAAAUUAGCGGAUGACUUGUGGCUGGGGGUGAAAGGCCAAUCAAACCGGGAGAUAGCUGGUUCUCCCCGAAAGCUAUUUAGGUAGCGCCUCGUGAAUUCAUCUCCGGGGGUAGAGCACUGUUUCGGCAAGGGGGUCAUCCCGACUUACCAACCCGAUGCAAACUGCGAAUACCGGAGAAUGUUAUCACGGGAGACACACGGCGGGUGCUAACGUCCGUCGUGAAGAGGGAAACAACCCAGACCGCCAGCUAAGGUCCCAAAGUCAUGGUUAAGUGGGAAACGAUGUGGGAAGGCCCAGACAGCCAGGAUGUUGGCUUAGAAGCAGCCAUCAUUUAAAGAAAGCGUAAUAGCUCACUGGUCGAGUCGGCCUGCGCGGAAGAUGUAACGGGGCUAAACCAUGCACCGAAGCUGCGGCAGCGACACUAUGUGUUGUUGGGUAGGGGAGCGUUCUGUAAGCCUGUGAAGGUGUGCUGUGAGGCAUGCUGGAGGUAUCAGAAGUGCGAAUGCUGACAUAAGUAACGAUAAAGCGGGUGAAAAGCCCGCUCGCCGGAAGACCAAGGGUUCCUGUCCAACGUUAAUCGGGGCAGGGUGAGUCGACCCCUAAGGCGAGGCCGAAAGGCGUAGUCGAUGGGAAACAGGUUAAUAUUCCUGUACUUGGUGUUACUGCGAAGGGGGGACGGAGAAGGCUAUGUUGGCCGGGCGACGGUUGUCCCGGUUUAAGCGUGUAGGCUGGUUUUCCAGGCAAAUCCGGAAAAUCAAGGCUGAGGCGUGAUGACGAGGCACUACGGUGCUGAAGCAACAAAUGCCCUGCUUCCAGGAAAAGCCUCUAAGCAUCAGGUAACAUCAAAUCGUACCCCAAACCGACACAGGUGGUCAGGUAGAGAAUACCAAGGCGCUUGAGAGAACUCGGGUGAAGGAACUAGGCAAAAUGGUGCCGUAACUUCGGGAGAAGGCACGCUGAUAUGUAGGUGAAGUCCCUCGCGGAUGGAGCUGAAAUCAGUCGAAGAUACCAGCUGGCUGCAACUGUUUAUUAAAAACACAGCACUGUGCAAACACGAAAGUGGACGUAUACGGUGUGACGCCUGCCCGGUGCCGGAAGGUUAAUUGAUGGGGUUAGCCGCAAGGCGAAGCUCUUGAUCGAAGCCCCGGUAAACGGCGGCCGUAACUAUAACGGUCCUAAGGUAGCGAAAUUCCUUGUCGGGUAAGUUCCGACCUGCACGAAUGGCGUAAUGAUGGCCAGGCUGUCUCCACCCGAGACUCAGUGAAAUUGAACUCGCUGUGAAGAUGCAGUGUACCCGCGGCAAGACGGAAAGACCCCGUGAACCUUUACUAUAGCUUGACACUGAACAUUGAGCCUUGAUGUGUAGGAUAGGUGGGAGGCUUAGAAGUGUGGACGCCAGUCUGCAUGGAGCCGACCUUGAAAUACCACCCUUUAAUGUUUGAUGUUCUAACGUUGACCCGUAAUCCGGGUUGCGGACAGUGUCUGGUGGGUAGUUUGACUGGGGCGGUCUCCUCCUAAAGAGUAACGGAGGAGCACGAAGGUUGGCUAAUCCUGGUCGGACAUCAGGAGGUUAGUGCAAUGGCAUAAGCCAGCUUGACUGCGAGCGUGACGGCGCGAGCAGGUGCGAAAGCAGGUCAUAGUGAUCCGGUGGUUCUGAAUGGAAGGGCCAUCGCUCAACGGAUAAAAGGUACUCCGGGGAUAACAGGCUGAUACCGCCCAAGAGUUCAUAUCGACGGCGGUGUUUGGCACCUCGAUGUCGGCUCAUCACAUCCUGGGGCUGAAGUAGGUCCCAAGGGUAUGGCUGUUCGCCAUUUAAAGUGGUACGCGAGCUGGGUUUAGAACGUCGUGAGACAGUUCGGUCCCUAUCUGCCGUGGGCGCUGGAGAACUGAGGGGGGCUGCUCCUAGUACGAGAGGACCGGAGUGGACGCAUCACUGGUGUUCGGGUUGUCAUGCCAAUGGCACUGCCCGGUAGCUAAAUGCGGAAGAGAUAAGUGCUGAAAGCAUCUAAGCACGAAACUUGCCCCGAGAUGAGUUCUCCCUGACUCCUUGAGAGUCCUGAAGGAACGUUGAAGACGACGACGUUGAUAGGCCGGGUGUGUAAGCGCAGCGAUGCGUUGAGCUAACCGGUACUAAUGAACCGUGAGGCUUAACCUU
rnacentral:rRNA from 1 species